GACGAACCGAGCGAACGUUGUUCGGAAUCACUGGGCUUAAAGGGCGCGUAGGCGGGUGCUCAAGUCCGGGGUGAAAUCCUCCAGCUCAACUGGAGAACUGCCUCGGAUACUGGGUGUCUCGAGGGUGGCAGGGGUAUGCGGAACUAUCGGUGGAGCGGUGAAAUGCGUUGAUAUCGAUAGGAACUCCGGUGGCGAAGGCGGCAUACUGGUCCACUUCUGACGCUGAGGCGCGAAAGCCAGGGGAGCGAACGGG
rnacentral:rRNA from 1 species